rnacentral:misc_RNA from 1 species
GUAUUGGACCAAUGAAAUCAUUUGUAACAAAUGUUUCAAAGAUGGAGGCCACAGUUGAUAAACUUGAAGCUAUGUUCAGCAAAGCUGAGUCAGAUCUGGACUACCUGGAAAGGAAAUUAGACAAUGAAUUCUCCCAAACUCAGACUGGGGAAGGUGACCAGGUUGAAGUCAACCCUGUUGAGAUGUUAGAGAGGGUGGCAAAAGUGAAAGAAGAAUUUGGUGGCAUUGUUGAUGAGACCAAUAAAAUCAAAGAGGCCCAACAGGAAGCUGUAGAAUUUUUCAAAACACAACUCUCCACAUUAUGUGUUGCCAUGACGAAGCUACAGGAACAAAGUGGUAUGGAAAAAGGGGAGGAGCCUGAGGAAUUACAACAAUUGAGAGAAACUCUAGGAAUAGAACUGCCUACUAAUGAUGCUCCGCCCACUUCUCUAGAGACAGCCACACCCACUCAACCAGUUGUUCCACAGUCUGAUCAUCAAUGUCAAUCUAAUCAAGAUCAAUCACCUGAACCAUUACACACAAGUGAACCACAGAAUAGUGACUUAAGGGCACAAUCUAGUGAGAUAAUUCCAGUUAGUUCAAAAGAGUUCAUGUCAGUUUCCUCUUUAAUACGAGGGAGAGUAAAGCUAGAAGAUGUUAAUAAGACAUACCAGAUGAUAUGGACAAGAUUUAAAGAAGAAGGCAAAACAGAUCCCCUCACUCCAGGAGACAUGUACAAGAUGGGACUUAAAGUGACUGGCCAGACAGGAGAGGCAAAAUUAAAGGUUUUAAGGGCACUGAAAAUCGUACAUAUAUCCAACAAAGGAGCUGUUAAACUUUUAUGAGGGACCCUAUGGACACUUAUAAUUACAACUUGGCAAAGUUCCACUAUUAAGAAACUUCGGACUCAACCUUUUGUGAUAGCUUGAACGACAUAUAAGGAUAUACAGUAAAGUUGAUUUUAAGUGACCUACAUAUUACUUCUUAAUAUGCAAAUGUCAAGCGAGGUAAAAGUGGGUAAAGUGAGGCAAAAGCAGGUGAAGUGAGGCAAAAGCAGGUGUAAUGAGGUAAAAGCAGGCCAAGUGAGGUAAAAGCGUGUAAAGUGAGGAAAAAGCAUGUGAAGUGAGGCAAAAGCAGGUGAAGUGAGGCAAAAGCAGUUGAAGUGAGGCAAAAGCAGGUGA